ensembl:snoRNA
UGUCCUUGGCCUGGAUAGAGUGACAUUUGGCUGGUGCUCACCUCAUAACAGCCAGGGACAAAACAACCCUUCAUUUAUCCCAGUUUGACUUUUGGUUAGUGCCCAUACCUGGUUCAUGCCUUGGACACAUGA